rnacentral:rRNA from 1 species
UACAGAGACUGCAAGCGUUAUUCGGAUUCACUGGGCGUAAAGGGUGCGCAGGCGGCCAAGUGUGUCAGAUGUGAAAUCCCGAGGCUUAACCUCGGAACUGCGUCUGAAACUACUUGGCUAGAGUAUUGGAGAGGGUAACGGAAUUCACGGUGUAGCAGUGAAAUGCGUAGAUAUCGUGAGGAACACCAGAGGCGAAGGCGGUUACCUGGACAAUUCCUGACGCUCAGGCACGAAAGCCAGGGGAGCAAACGGG